GACGAACGCUGGCGGCGUGCCUAAUACAUGCAAGUAGGACGCAGUUGCGUACGGGUGAGUAACGCGUAGGUAACUGCCUAUUCGAGGGGGAUAACUAUUGGACACGUUAGCUAAUAUCGCAUACUAGUAGAUGGACCUUCGUUGUAUUAGCUAGUAGGUAGGGUAAUGGUCUACCUAGGCGAGGUUACAUAGCCGACCUGGGAGGGUGAUGGGCCGCGCUGGGGCUGAGACACGGGCCAGACGCCGACGGGAGGCAGCAGAAGGGGAGCUUCGGGAAUGGGGGGGACGCUGACCGGGCAACGCCGCGUGAGUAAGGAAGGAUGUAGGAUCGUAGAGCUCUGUUGGUGAGGAAGCGGUACUUAACCAGAAAGGGACGGCUAGCUGCGUGCCAGCAGCCGCGGUGGUAC
rnacentral:rRNA from 1 species